AGAGUUUGAUUCUGGCUCAGAACGAACGCUGGCGGCGUGGAUUAGGCAUGCAAGUCGAACGGGACUUUAUGUUGUAGCAAUACUUUAUAAAGUCUAGUGGCGUAAGGGUGAGUAACACGUGGGUAAUGUACCCGAUAGUUUGGGAUAACGUUCCGAAAGGGACGCUAAUACCGGAUGUGAUGUUAGACCGCCGGGUUUAACAAGAAAGGUGGGGACCGCAAGGCCUGCCGCUAACGGAACGGCCCGCGACCUAUUAGCUAGUUGGUGGGGUAAAGGCCUACCAAGGCGAGGAUGGGUAGCCGAACUGAGAGGUUGACCGGCCACACUGGGACUGAGACACUGCCCAGACUUCUACGGAAGGCUGCAGUCGAGAAUCAUUCACAAUGGACGAAAGUCUGAUGAUGCGACGCCGCGUGCGCGAUGAAGGUCUUCGGAUUGUAAAGCGCUUUGAACAGGGAAGAAUGCCGCGUAUUUAAUAGAUAACGCGGAGGGACAGUACCUGACAAACAAGCCCCGGCUAAUUUCGUGCCAGCCGCAGC
rnacentral:rRNA from 1 species